rnacentral:rRNA from 1 species
UAAUACGUAGGUGGCAAGCGUUGUCCGGAUUUAUUGGGCGUAAAGCGAGCGCAGGCGGUUUCUUAGGUCUGAUGUGAAAGCCUUCGGCUUAACCGGAGAAGUGCAUCGGAAACCAGGAGACUUGAGUGCAGAAGAGGACAGUGGAACUCCAUGUGUAGCGGUGAAAUGCGUAGAUAUAUGGAAGAACACCAGUGGCGAAGGCGGCUGUCUGGUCUGUAACUGACGCUGAGGCUCGAAAGCAUGGGUAGCGAACAGGAUUAGAUACCCUGGUAGUCCAUGCCGUAAACGAUGAGUGCUAAGUGUUGGAGGGUUUCCGCCCUUCAGUGCUGCAGCUAACGCAUUAAGCACUCCGCCUGGGGAGUACGACCGCAAGGUUGAAACUCAAAGGAAUUGACGGGGGCCCGCACAAGCGGUGGAGCAUGUGGUUUAAUUCGAUGCUACGCGAAGAACCUUACCAGGUCUUGACAUCUUCUGCCAACCUAAGAGAUUAGGCGUUCCCUUCGGGGACAGAAUGACAGGUGGUGCAUGGUUGUCGUCAGCUCGUGUCGUGAGAUGUUGGGUUAAGUCCCGCAACGAGCGCAACCCUUAUUGUUAGUUGCCAGCAUUUAGUUGGGCACUCUAGCAAGACUGCCGGUGACAAACCGGAGGAAGGUGGGGAUGACGUCAAAUCAUCAUGCCCCUUAUGGCCUGGGCUACACACGUGCUACAAUGGACGGUACAACGAGUCGCGAAACCGCGAGGUCAAGCUAAUCUCUUAAAGCCGUUCUCAGUUCGGAUUGCAGGCUGCAACUCGCCUGCAUGAAGUUGGAAUCGCUAGUAAUCGUGGAUCAGCAUGCCACGGUGAAUACGUUCCCGGGCCUUGUACACACCGCCCGUCACACCAUGAGAGUUUGUAACACCCAAAGCCGGUGAGGUAACCUUCGGGGACCAGCCGUCUAAGGUGGGACAGAUGAUUAGGGUG